rnacentral:rRNA from 1 species
AUUGAACGCUGGCGGCAGGCCUAACACAUGCAAGUCGAGCGGAUGAUGGGAGCUUGCUCCUUGAUUCAGCGGCGGACGGGUGAGUAAUGCCUAGGAAUCUGCCUGGUAGUGGGGGACAACGUUUCGAAAGGAACGCUAAUACCGCAUACGUCCUACGGGAGAAAGCAGGGGACCUUCGGGCCUUGCGCUAUCAGAUGAGCCUAGGUCGGAUUAGCUAGUUGGUGAGGUAAUGGCUCACCAAGGCGACGAUCCGUAACUGGUCUGAGAGGAUGAUCAGUCACACUGGAACUGAGACACGGUCCAGACUCCUACGGGAGGCAGCAGUGGGGAAUAUUGGACAAUGGGCGAAAGCCUGAUCCAGCCAUGCCGCGUGUGUGAAGAAGGUCUUCGGAUUGUAAAGCACUUUAAGUUGGGAGGAAGGGCAGUAAGCUAAUACCUUGCUGUUUUGACGUUACCGACAGAAUAAGCACCGGCUAACUCUGUGCCAGCAGCCGCGGUAA